rnacentral:snoRNA from 1 species
GGGCCAUGAUUAGUAAUUUAUCCGCGCUUCUGAGAUGCAGUCGAUGAAGUAGAGGAUGAAAAAUAAUGGUUGAAUUUCUUAAUAUGAGCCC